CUUAGCAUGAAGUGAAGCACAUACACCUGCUGAAUUUAAGCAUAUAAGUAAGUGGUGGAAAUUAAACCAAAUGGGAUAUCUUUAGUAAUUGCGAAUGAACAAGGAUAUGCUUAGCUUGACAAAUGGAGCUAUUGGCUUUGAAUUGUAUUGUGGAAAUGUAUUACCAACAGAGGUGCAGGUGCCAGCCUAUUGAAAUAAAGCGUCAAUGAGGGUGAGAAUCCUGUUUGUCAUGUGCAGCCCUUUGUGCACGGUGUAUAUUUGCUGAGUCACACUCCUUGGCAUUGGAAUGCAAAGUGGGUGGUAAGUUUCACGUAAAGGUAAACAUGCAAUUGAGACUGAUAGCACACAAGUACCAUGAGGGAAAUAUGAAAAGGACUUUGAAAAGAGAAUUAAAUGAGUUUGUAUUUGCUGAACACAAAGUAAACAGACUUGAUUUGCUUGGUGGGAGUGUUGCACUUGCUUGACAAGAGCUUUGGGCUGUGGGUGUAAUGAUUCUUUCUUUGCAUGCCAGUUUCUAUUUGUACAUCUGAUUACCUUUGCACAUGAAUGAUAAGUCUCCUGUGGGGGGUGGAUUGCAUGUGCAUGUAAUGAUUUGUGUUUUGAUAAAUGUGUCUGGUGUAUGUGUGUGUUCCUGUGCUUGGGGAUGCUUCCUUCCUUGGACUUACAAGCCCUGACACACACAUGCUGGCAAAAUGCUUCUGCUUGACCCGUCUUGAAACACGGACCAAGGAGUCUAACAGAUGUGCAAAGUUUGAAGGUGGUAUACCUUUGUGUGCAAUGAAAGUGUCAGCUGGGAUAUGUGCACCAGCACCCAAUUAAUUAGCGGACAGAGGUUUGAGUUGGAGCAUAUCUAUUAGGACCCGAAAGAUGGUGAACUAUGCCUGAACAGAAUGAAUUCAGAGGAAACUCUGAUGGAGGUUCGUAUCGAUACUGACGUGCAAAUCGUUCG
rnacentral:rRNA from 1 species